CCUACGGGCGGCAGCAGUGGGGGAUAUUGGACAAUGGGGGGAACCCUGAUCCAGCGACGCCGCGUGAGUGAAGAAGUAUUUCGGUAUGUAAAGCUCUGUCAGCAGGGAAGAAAGAAAUGACGGUACCUGACCAAGAAGCCCCGACUAACUACGUGCCAGCAGCCGCGGUAAUACGUAGGGGGCAAGCGUUAUCCGGAUUUACUGGGUGUAAAGGGAGCGUAGACGGCAGCACAAGUCUGGAGUGAAAUGCCGGGGCUUAACCCCGGAACUGCUUUGGAAACUGUGCAGCUAGAGUGCAGGAGAGGUAAGUGGAAUUCCUAGUGUAGCGGUGAAAUGCGUAGAUAUUAGGAGGAACACCAGUGGCGAAGGCGGCUUACUGGACUGUAACUGACGUUGAGGCUCGAAAGCGUGGGGAGCAAACAGGAUUAGAUACCCCUGUAGUC
rnacentral:rRNA from 1 species